rnacentral:rRNA from 1 species
UACGUAGGGUGCAAGCGUUAAUCGGAAUUACUGGGCGUAAAGCGUGCGCAGGCGGUUAUGUAAGACAGGUGUGAAAAAUCCCCCCGGCUUAACCUGGGAACUGCAUUUUUGUGACUGCAAUAGCUAGAGUACGGGGUAGAGGGGAUGGGGAAAAUUUUCCCCGCGUGUAGCAGUGAAAAUGCGUAAGAUAAUGCGGGGAGGGGAAAACACCC